rnacentral:rRNA from 1 species
AGCGAACGCUGGCGGCAGGCCUAACACAUGCAAGUCGAACGAACCUUUCGGGGUUAGUGGCGGACGGGUGAGUAACACGUGGGAACGUGCCUUUAGGUUCGGAAUAACUCAGGGAAACUUGUGCUAAUACCGAAUGUGCCCUUCGGGGGAAAGAUUUAUCGCCUGUAGAGCGGCCCGCGUCUGUUUAGCUAGUUGGUUGAGGUAAUGGCUCACCAAGGCGACGAUCAGUAGCUGGUCUGAGAGGAUGAUCAGCCACAUUGGGACUGAGACACGGCCCAAACUCCUACGGGAGGCAGCAGUGGGGAAUCUUGCGGAAUGGGCGAAAGCCUGACGCAGCCAUGCCGCGUGAAUGAUGAAGGUCUUAGGAUUGUAAAAUUCUUUCACCGGGGACGAUAAUGACGGUACCCGGAGAAGAAGCCCCGGCUAACUUCGUG